AGGGGCAGCAUUGUAGCUUGCUACAGAUGGCGACCGGCGCACGGGUGAGUAACGCGUAUGCAACCUACCUUUCACAGGGGGAUAGCCCAGAGAAAUCUGGAUUAAUACCGCAUAAUAAUAUUUUAUCGCAUGGUAAGAUAUUUAAAAUUACGAUGGUGAAAGAUGGGCAUGCGUAGCAUUAGUUAGUUGGUAAGGUAACGGCUUACCAAGACGAUGAUGCUUAGGGGGUCUGAGAGGAUAGUCCCCCACACUGGUACUGAGACACGGACCAGACUCCUACGGGAGGCAGCAGUGAGGAAUAUUGGUCAAUGGGCGCGAGCCUGAACCAGCCAUGUCGCGUGCAGGAUGACGGCCCUAUGGGUUGUAAACUGCUUUUUUACAGGAAUAAUUGUCAGUACGUGUACUGAUUUGAAGGUACUGUAGGAAUAAGGAUCGGCUAACUCCGUGCCAGCAGCCGCGGUAAUACGGAGGAUUCGAGCGUUAUCCGGAUUUAUUGGGUUUAAAGGGUCCGUAGGCGGGCUGUUAAGUCAGUGGUGAAAUCCCAGAGCUCAACUCUGGAACUGCCAUUGAAACUGAUAGUCUUGAAUAUGGUUGAGGUAGGCGGAAUACGUUAUGUAGCGGUGAAAUGCAUAGAUAUAACGUAGAACACCAAUUGCGAAGGCAGCUUACUAAGCCAUUAUUGACGCUGAUGGACGAAAGCGUGGGGAGCGAACAGGAUUAGAUACCCUGGUAGUCCACGCCGUAAACGAUGAUUACUCGUUGUGCACAAUACACCGUGCGUGACUGAGCGAAAGCAUUAAGUAAUCCACCUGGGGAGUACGUUGGCAACAAUGAAACUCAAAGGAAUUGACGGGGGCCCGCACAAGCGGAGGA
rnacentral:rRNA from 1 species